UACGGAGGGUGCAAGCGUUAAUCGGAAUUACUGGGCGUAAAGCGCACGCAGGUGGCUGAGUCAGUCGAUUGUGAAAGCCCUGGGCUUAACCUGGGAAUUGCAGUCGAUACUACUCAGCUAGAGUAUGGGAGAGGGCAGUGGAAUUCCCGGUGUAGCGGUGAAAUGCGUAGAUAUUGGGAGGAACACCAGUGGCGAAGGCGGCUCACUGGACCGGUACUGACGCUGAUGCGCGAAAGCUAGGGGAGCAAACGGG
rnacentral:rRNA from 1 species